rfam:Picea glauca, whole genome shotgun sequence.
GGGUGCGAUCAUACCGGCGUUAAUGCACCAGAUCCCAUCAGAACUCUGCAGUUAAGCGCGCUUGGGCUAGAGUAGUACUGGGAUGGGUGACCUCCUGGGAAGUCCUAGUGUUGCACCCU